UGCAGAAGGAUCCUGUUGCAGCG
rnacentral:piRNA from 1 species